CUGCCUGCCCCGUAGUUAAGGAAAUAGCGGAGGAGGGAGAAGGAGGACGGCGAGAUGACCGGGAAGAAGCGGCGGGUCGACUGGAGGGUGAACUCCCUGAGAGCAGGGGCCAUGUAUCUUCAAGCUUUCAACACCCAGCACAAGACUGGUAUGAGGCAGGCUUCAACAACUGUUUGUUAAAUGGCUUUGUGAAAAUUGCUAUUUCAUGUGGUACAAAAAUAUUAGUAACUUUAUAUCUUCAUUGUGAAUUGUGGCUGUAUUAGUCCAUUUUCACGCUACUGAUAAAGACAUACCUGAAACUGGGAAGAAAAAGAGGUUUAAUUGGACUUACAGUUGCACAUGGCUGGCGAGGCAUCAGAAUCAUGGCAGGAGGCAAAAGGCACUUCUGACAUGGUGGCAGCAAGAGAAAAUGAGGAAGAAGCAAAAGUGGAAACCCCUGAUAAACCCAUCAGAUCUCGUGAGACUUAUUCACUGUCACGAGAAUAGCACUGGAACUACCGGCCCCCUUGAUUCAAUUACCUCCCCCUGGGUCCCAGCCACAACACAUGGGAAUUCUGGGAGAUACAUAUUCAAGUUGAGAUUUGGGUGGGGACACAGCCAAACCAUAUCAGUGGCCUUUUUUGUCUCAAUUAAUGCUUCUUUGUAAUAAACAACUUUUUAUUUUUGAUUAAUUUUGGAUUUACAGAAAGGUUGCAAAGAUAGUACAGGGUUUCCAUACACCCUUUACCUAGUUGCCCCUCAUGUUAACAUCUUGUAUGACUACCUUCGUCUGAGCUAACUGAGAGAUUAACAUUGGUAUGUUACUAUUAACUAAAAUCCAAACUUUAUUCAGAUUUCACCAGUUUUCCACUAGAUAUCCUUUGUCUAUCCUAGGCUUCAAUUCAGAUGUGACAUUGCAUUUAGUCACCAUAUCUCCUCCAAUCUGUGACAGUUUCCCAGUCUUCCCUUGUUUCUGAUGACCUUGUCGAUGCUUUUUGUUAUGAGUUCCUAACUUAUCGGAAAUUAAGAUGCAACAUUUUUGCUUUUUUUAUUUGCCUUUUAUUGGUAUGCCUUUGCCCUUUCUUGUAUUUUUAGCCUUUCUGAGUCAGUUUGUUUUAGUUGACACUCUUGAAUAUAGCAUUGAGUUUUGCUCAGUGAUCCAAUAGAAAAAUAUUUUUCCUUAAACACUUGAGCUAAGACAGUUUGUAUUUAUAUAUAUGAAAGAUGUUUAGUGUUAGUAUUGCCAUAUUAUUUUAUUUUAUUUUAUUUUUUUCGAGACAGAGUCUUGCUCUUUCACCCAGGCUGGAGUGCAGUGGCACGAUCUUGGCUCACCUCAACCUCCGCCUCCCUGAUUCAAGCAAUUCUGCCUCAGCCUCCCGAGUAACUGGGAUUACAGGUGCGUGCCACCACAGCUGGCUAAUUUCUGUAUUUUUAAUAGAGAUGGGGUUGCACCAUGUUGGCCAGGCUGGUCUCAAACUCCUGACCUCGUGAUCUGCCCGCCUCGGCCUCCCAAAGUGCUGGGAUUACAGGCAUGAGCCACCGCACCCGGCCUGUCAUAUUAUUUUAAUGUUUUUCUAUAUGUUUAUAUAUUAAAAGCAUUUCACUAUA